AAGGAGAAGGAGUAAGAUCACUAGAAAGCAGAAUGCUGCCAGACAACCACAGGACCCUAGAGGCCUCUGCAUGCUGUGACAUGGGUCUGGAUGGUAAUACAUCUACUUCCAGCUGCCUGACUGUUACUUUACCUGACAAUUAAAGCGAGAGUCUCCUUAUCUCUGUCUCGUAGACAUUUAA